rnacentral:rRNA from 1 species
UACAGAGGUGGCAAGCGUUGUUCGGAAUUACUGGGCGUAAAGCGUGCGUAGACGGUUGCGUAAGUCAGAUGUGAAAUCCCCGGGCUUAACCUGGGAAUGGCAUUUGGGACUGCAAGGCUUGAGUUUGGCAGAGGAGACUGGAAUUCCUGGUGUAGCAGUGAAAUGCGUAGAUAUCGAGAGGAACACCUGCGGCGAAGGCGGGUUGCUGGGCUGACACUGACGCUGAGGCGCGAAAGCCAGGGGAGCGAACGGG